rnacentral:lncRNA from 1 species
UCACCCAGAUGCUCAAGGUCACCCAGCUGUGCCAACGUUCAAAGAUCCAGAAGGUACGCAGUUCUCUCACCACUGGUAUCUUACUGACUGGAAGUCUGGUGACACCUACCAAUCCUUGUCCAGCUCCAGCACUGCCACUGGCACCACAGUCAUUGAGUGUACUCAAGUUCAGGGAAGCUCAGAGUCUCUGGCCUCCCCUUCCACCUCCAGAGCGACAACACCCUCCCAGCUCUCCAUUGAGGUGGAAGCCAGGGAAGUAGCCUCCCCUGGGAGGCCCACUGGACUGAUGUCUCCUUCCAGUGGUUACUCCAGCCAGUCAGAGACACCCACACCUACUGUCUCCAUGUCCUUGACCCUGGGCCACUUACCUCCUCCAAGCACUAGCGUCCGAGUUCGUCCAGUGGUACCAGAAAGGAAGUCAUCACUGCCCCCAACAUCACCAAUGGAGAAAAUCUGCAAGUCACGGUUAUCAUUUGACCUACCAUUGACCUCUUCAACCACCCUGGAUCUGUCGGGGAUGAGUAUCUCCAUCCGAAGUAAAACCAAGGUGAGCCGC